GCCCAGCUAGCUCAGUUGGUAGAGCAUGAAACUCUUAAUCUCAGGGUUGUGGGUUUGAGCUCCACAUUGGGCA